GUUUACGGCCAUACCACCCUCACUGUGCCUGAUCUUGUCUGAUCUCAGAAGCUAAGUGGUGUUUUGCCUGGUUAGUACUUGGAUGGAAGACUGCCUGGGAAUGCCAGGUGCUGUGUGUA
ensembl:rRNA 5S_rRNA 5S ribosomal RNA